rnacentral:ncRNA from 1 species
AAAAAACUUACUAACUAUAUUGGAUUUAACAUUUGUACUAUAGAUAAAAUCUAAGUACAGUCGCUCUGCUCGAAGCGAUACAGCGGUUAAACAACUGGUGUUACGAAUUGUAGCGGGUGUGUGGCAACCCCAAAUAGUCACGGUGGUACUCUGUGCGGGUACUUUACUUAGUGUAUAAUUUAGAAAGUAAGCUAAACACUAUUACUGCUGGGCGGAGUAGGCAGGAACAAGCAUAAAGCUUGUGGUAAAGUAAGU